rnacentral:rRNA from 1 species
AUUGAACGCUGGCGGCAGGCCUAACACAUGCAAGUCGAGCGGUAGAGAGAAGCUUGCUUCUCUUGAGAGCGGCGGACGGGUGAGUAAUGCCUAGGAAUCUGCCUGGUAGUGGGGGAUAACGUUCGGAAACGGACGCUAAUACCGCAUACGUCCUACGGGAGAAAGCAGGGGACCUUCGGGCCUUGCGCUAUCAGAUGAGCCUAGGUCGGAUUAGCUAGUUGGCGGGGUAAGAGCCCACCAAGGCGACGAUCCGUAGCUGGUCUGAGAGGAUGAUCAGCCACACUGGGACUGAGACACGGCCCAGACUCCUACGGGAGGCAGCAGUGGGGAAUAUUGGACAAUGGGCGCAAGCCUGAUCCAGCAAUGCCGCGUGUGUGAAGAAGGCCUUCGGGUUGUAAAGCACUUUUAUCGGGAGCGAAAAGCUUGGGAUUAAUACCCUCAAGUGCUGACGGUACCCGAUGAAUAAGCACCGGCUAACUUCGUGC